AGAGAGGAGUUGUGUAAAAGGGGCUGAAGUCCUGCGCUGCGUCCUACACUGCUGCUGCGCUGCUAAGAAAAGUAGGCUGACCACCAGCAGAUAUAAAAAAAGCUGCCAGACCGUAUCGUGGACGUAAAACAAACAAACAGGCAGCGACACACCCUGGUAAUGGUCCACGACUCCGCCGGAGUAGUGGGCGAGGCAGCCUGAACUCCGCUGCACCGUCCUGAUGGUUGGCCGCGCAGGAGCAACUCGGCCGGUGGUCAAGGAAUACGUGCACAUAAAGCAGACCAAGGAAGGAGGAGUCACCAUUUGUGCUUUAAAGCUGGCUGUCCGUUACUCCAGGGUGUCUCUCACGCUCUCUGGCUGACACCCAGCGCUCCCUCACCCUUGGCCCCAAAUGGCUGACACACAGCAGUUCUUCACUGGCAAGCUUUAUGUUCCUGUACACAUGCUAAAGCUGCCAGCUGAAGAACUGCUCUGGUCAGCCCUGCCCCGGAUGACUCAAGAAGAGGAAGUUGAUGGGGGUUGCUGGGAAGAGGACUGAGAGGCUGUUUCACGCACUCUGUAGUCAGACUGGACUUUAAUAGCCGGAAAGAUUUGAGCCACCAUUGUUUAUAUUCCUGUGUUAAUCACAUACAAGGUAUAUUUGACUUUAGGCAAUACAGAAUUCUUAUGUUGUGGUCUUUUUCUCACAGAAACCUGCAUACAUUUUGUGCAUGAUGUUUUUUUUUUUUCCUACAAUAAAGAACAAUAUUUUCUCAAA